AGGGAUUUAGCUCAGCGGCAUAAGCGCCUGCCUUGCAAGCAGGCGGUCGUGAGUUCGAUCCCUG
rnacentral:tRNA from 1 species